rnacentral:rRNA from 1 species
UACUCCUACGGGAGGCAGCAGUGGGGAAUAUUGCACAAUGGGCGAAAGCCUGAUGCAGCAACGCCGCGUGAGCGAUGAAGGCCUUCGGGUCGUAAAGCUCUGUCCUCAAGGAAGAUAAUGACGGUACUCGAGGAGGAAGCCCCGGCUAACUACGUGCCAGCAGCCGCGGUAAU